rnacentral:rRNA from 1 species
AAGCCUGUUGCAGCCAUGCCGCGUGUAUGAAGAAGGCCUUCGGGUUGUAAAGUACUUUCAGUCGUGAGGAAGGCGGUGUCGUUAAUAGCGGCGUUGUUUGACGUUAGCGACAGAAGAAGCACCGGCUAACUCCGUGCCAGCAGCCGCGGUAAUACGGAGGGUGCGAGCGUUAAUCGGAAUUACUGGGCGUAAAGCGCAUGCAGGUGGUUUGUUAAGUCAGAUGUGAAAGCCCGGGGCUCAACCUCGGAAUAGCAUUUGAAACUGGCAGACUAGAGUACUGUAGAGGGGGGUAGAAUUUCAGGUGUAGCGGUGAAAUGCGUAGAGAUCUGAAGGAAUACCGGUGGCGAAGGCGGCCCCCUGGACAGAUACUGACACUCAGAUGCGAAAGCGUGGGGAGCAAACAGGAUUAGAUACCCUGGUAGUCCACGCCGUAAACGAUGUCUACUUGGAGGUUGUGGCCUUGAGCCGUGGCUUUCGGAGCUAACGCGUUAAGUAGACCGCC